UCUCCUGGAUCCACCCAACCUCGGGUUGAAAAGCCAAAGCUGGGCCUGUGUACUCACUAGUGUGCAGCCAUGGACAGGCUUACUUCCUCACUCCUGCUGCUGAUUGUCCCUGCAUAUGUCCUGUCCCAGGUUACUCUGAAAGAGUCUGGCCCUGGGAUAUUGCAGCCCUCCCAGACCCUCAGUCUGACUUGCUCUUUCUCUGGGUUUUCACUGAGCACUACUAAUAUGGGUGUGGGCUGGAUCCGUCAGCCCUCAGGGAAGGGUCUGGAGUUGCUGGCAACCAUUUAUUGGGAUGAUGAUAAGUACUACAACCCAUCAUUGAAAAGUCGGCUUACAAUCUCCAAGGACACCUCCAACAGCCAGGUAUUCCUCAAGCUGGCCAGUGUGGACACUUCAGAUACUGCCACAUACUACUGUGCUCGGAGAGCACAUUGAAUCAGUCUCAGUUUUCA